GCACCCCAGCAAACCCUGUACUCCUGUCUCUGUGUUGGACAUGGGCCACGAUGGUGCCACUGUGACUCUAAAUAUAUCCAGACGGACUUUCCUCCCUAUUGGCGUCUGUCGCUACAACUUUGAGACAGUUACUUACUGUCAUACUUAAAAUGUGAUCCCUUACAAGACACUGAGGACUGAGUACAAGCCCUUUGAAGCCAAACGACGGCUGCUGGGGAACUUUGACAUGUUUCUUUCAGACGACCGCAUUCGCCGCCUGCUGUCCUGGCACAUUGGCAAGCACUUCCACGAGAGAAAGAAGCAGCCUUUGUCAUUGAACCUGCAGAGCAAGAAGCUGGCCUUGGACAUCCAGAGAACCAUCCAGGGAACAACGACCUGCAUUUCUAAGAAAGGCUGCUACUGCAUGGCUUAUGUGGC